rnacentral:rRNA from 1 species
UAACAAAAACAUGUCUUGAUGGUUUUAAAUAUUAAGUCUGGCCUGCCCUAUGAUUUAAAUUUAAUGGCCGCAGUAAUUUAACUGUGCAAAGGUAGCAUAAUCAUUAGUUUUUUAAUUGAGGACUAGAAUGAAAGGUUUAACGAAAUAUAAACUUUAUUAUAUUAAAAAUUAUAAUUUUAUUUUUCAGUGAAAAAGCUGAAAUUUAAAUAUUAGACGAGAAGACCCUAUAGAUUUUUAUAUAAUUUAUAAUAUAUAUAAUAAGUAUUAAAUAUAUUUAUUAUAUUUAAUUAUUUUGUUGGGGUGACAGUAAAAUUAAAUUAAUUUUUAUAGUAUUAUAACAUUAAUUUAUGAGUGGUUGAUCCAUUAUUAUGAUUAUUAGAUUAAAUUACCUUAGGGAUAACAGCAUAAUUUCUUUGGAAAGUUCUUAUUAAUAAAGGAGAUUAUGACCUCGAUGUUGGAUUAAGAUUAAUUUUGGGUGCAGAAGGUUAAAAAAUA